CAAUCCUGAACAAUCCCACUAUCCCACAGUGAUGCAUCUGAUUGGUGGAAGUCAUGUCACGUGUCUGAAACCCUGUGAAGGUGAAGUGGAAAGCCCCUGCUGGUUACAUCUCACUGGCUGUCAGAGCGAAGAUUGAAUUUGGGGCGAUGAGUUUUAUUUUUGGCAUGGAAAGGGGGUAGGUCACCAUGUCCUGUUGCUCUGUUCUACUAAUCUUACCCCACCACACUCGCACAGAGUUGGACCCAGCAGACGCACACUUAAUUGUACAGCAAUACUUGCACAGAUCAGCAUCAUCUCUCUCUUCUGACCUCACUGUAAGUCUCAUGAAUGCUUAUAGCGUGAUCAUCCAACCUGAAGUAUUUAAUUUAAAAAAUAAUACAGCAAUUGUAUGUGUUGCAAUAGACAAUAGUGAACAGUGCAACGAUUUAGCUAGCAUGAAGUCUUUCAAUUGUUAAUAGUACAGAGGUGUUAUGCUAAAAGAGCCUAAAUCAAACAGGCAUAUCUCAGGUCUUUAGCACUCAGACAUCUCACACGUCUAAGGAAAAGGAGGGAAGUAGAUCACUGAGGUUAAAAUGUUUGCCAACCAGAUACAUUGUAAUACAAGAUUAAAAAGUGUUAAUGUAAUUAGCUCUGUACGGUUGUGUGAGAAUUGAGGCUGGGGCCGUGUUUAUCUUUUUGUGGUUCCAGGAUGUGCAGUCUUUCAGUGGGCAAAAAUAAAAUGUAGAGCAGCUCAAGAUCACAUUUCAGGGAUAGUACUGUCACGCAGGCACUAGAAUACACACAGAUACUAAAUUAACCCAGAUACAGAGGGAGUCACAGACUGUAUGUACAUGCAAGUACAUUACAAUAUUGACCAGACUUGUGGGAUAUUCUGUAUAGUGGUGAAUUUGAAUUUAAUAAAUUCUGUCAUAUGUAGGGGUCAUGUAUGCUUAUUAACCUACUAACAGAGAACAAAUGAAGAGUUCAGAUGCAAAA